AGUAAACUCCAACAGACAUACAUUAAGAGCAUAUAUCUUUUACAAGGCAAAUUUCCCAAGACGAAUUUAUAUAACAACAAACAACAUUCCACAAUCGACAUGCUAGAUACUAAAAAAUGGCUCCCAUAUUUGAUAGGUGUUGGAAACGUAUCAUCUACUAGGGAUCAAAUCGCAACCUCAUGCUAUAAUCUAAUAAAAAACCGAUAAAUUUCAAACAACUGUAACAAAGAAAAUUAGCACAUUACUAUCGAAAGCUACAAGACAUAGAACUAAGCACUGGGAUGCAACUCAUAUCCAUUUAAACAAAAAUUUAAACCAAAAAGUACGAACAUCAACCAUAAUAAAGUAUCAAUUAAUAUCAAAAUGUAAACAGUUGAAAAUUUAAAAAAAAUAUAUAAUCAAAAGUGAUCAGAACAAAACAGCUUAGGCAGUAAGAACAACAGCUCCACCAUUCUCCUUUAUCUUUUUCUCGGCAAUCUUGGACACCAGCUUCGCUUUCACAACAAUCGGCUUGUUCUCCGGCAAAGCGCCCUUCCCCAAUACCUUGAAGUAGCCAUACUGAGUGACAUCGAUCAUGGGCACAUUGUCCUUGCUAGCCUUAUCCUUCACUUCCUGAGGGAUCAACGACCAAAGCUUGUCGAUGUUGACGAUGGGGCAGUAGAACUUGUUGCGCAACUUGUGGAAAUAUCGCAUACCGACCUUUCCAAAAUACCCAGGAUGGUACUUGUCGAAGAGGAUCCUGUGGUGAUGCAUGCCUCCGGCGUUACCGCGACCUCCAGGGUGCUUCCUGUGCUUGCCGAUACGCCCAUGGCCAGCGCUCACAUGGCCGCGCUUCUUCCGGUUCUUCUUGAAUCGGGUGGUCAUUUUAGCUCUCUCUGCUUAAGGAAAGGUUUUUGGGCGGCUCUGUAGAGAAUUGGAGGAGCUAGGGUUCUCAACAUUUAUAGAGAGAGACAAUUGGUGGCAUAGUGAUUUUACCAUUUUGCCCUGAUUCCGUCAAAAGUCUAAACAACAUAAACGACGACGUUUUGGUUGCGUUAGCAUUUUAGAUAUGGACUUGAGGUGAGUUGUCCUUUUGGAGACAAUGGAAUAGGGCUCAGAACGCAGCUGCCAAUUUACCUAGUGCCAAACCCCAGUCGCUCAUUUAACUAAGACAGCAUUUUCUGUUUCUGUUGUUCAAAUCCUGAAAAAUAAACCUUUGCAGAAAGCAGUGCCUUGAGAAUUUGAAUUUGGUAGUCUUUUAACUAAACGUUAUUAAAAACAAUCCAUGCCAGGGUACACAGAUCAAUUUUACUUUCCUUGGAUGGAUCCUGCACUCAAGUACAGUAAAGAUAAUCAAGCAUUUACCCCCUAGAGCAGCAUCUGACAAUCUGCCCUGCUUCCUUUAGAAUCUUGAUAAGAUCCCCAGCAAACUUUGCAUCUGCAUUGGUGAAAAAGGUGAAUGCAGUUCCCCUAGGCCAUGCACGACCAGUUCGUCCAAUCCUGUGGACAUAAUCCUCAAGGCUGGAAGGAAUUCCUAUAGUUGAUCACACACUUCAUGUCCUUCACAUCUACAACCAAUUGAAAUAGAAAUCAAGCCAAUAAACUAUAUUGCAUUAGGUUCAAAAAAGUACUAAUGCGUCAUAAUUUAGGACUGCAAGCUAACGAAGCUCUCCAUAUUGGCUCAUUCCACUUGAGACCAUUAGUAAGAUAGCCAAUCUUGGACAAGAGAAUACUCAGCUGUCAUGUUUUUCAUUCUCAAAGAUUCAACCUACCCAAGCUUGACACUAGAUCCGCUAAAUAGAAGUCUCAGUCAAAUCCGUUAUGGUUCAAAAUUGUAAUGUUUAAUCAGCCCAAAAGUUUGGUUUUCUAAUAAAACAAUUAUUCCCUUGAAGAUCAUACAAGCUACCCAUGCAUGAUUAGGCACAUGAAAAUGAGCAAAAAGUUUUAAAGAGACUAUUAAGAGUUGCUAUCGUGCUAAUGGAGGCCAUGCAAAUGCAAGUGGCUUCUGAGAACGAUGGGACGGCCAAAAAUGGACAGGACGGACAUUUUACGUAUCCAUCAAUCUCAAAAAUAAGAUUAAGAUGGUUUCUACAUUAUUCAAAUGCCAUGUUUCUCCUCUAUGCCUUGCAAUAUGCAUGUCUUUGUACUCUUUGGUGGUUAAUUAUAUUUUUCAUGUACAUGAUGGUAUGAUGUGUAGGAAGCGGGAAAUGUACUUAUAAUUUUGAUAUGUUGCUGAUUUUGCAGGUUCUUUUUUCAUCACGUGGUGCUAAAAUGAGGACCAUUCUAAGUCCAGAUCAGUCAAGGAGCUUCCAUGCUUUAAUUGCUUUAUUUUUUGUGUACUUGGCCUUCUCAUCUAUUGUGUACUUCUAGUCAAAUACAUUAUUGGUUAUUAUAGGCUUGGAAAGAAUUCAAUGAAGUAAAAGAAAAUUGUUAGUUGUUGUCUUCUGUUCUGCUUGCACAUUAUUUUCAGACAACACCAAAUCUCCUCCAGAACUUAUGGGUUGUGCUUGUUGUGGCCUUUCCUUUUUCAAUUGCAAGUUGUUCUUCAUCCCUUGUACCUUGGAGCUGUUAAAAUCUUAAUACUUCACCUUACUCCUACAAGCUGAAAAGCAUGCGCACUCCAAAAACUUCUUUUCAGAGUUGCUCCGAGAAAUAUCGGGUCUUUUAGGAUUGGUAGGGUGAGAUGGAUGCACCAGCUCUGUUACCUUCUGGUCAUCCACAACCUUCUUGCCAUCAGGAACAAUAGUGAUCUGACAAUAGUCUGGAGCGUUCUUCUUGAUAAACUCUGCUUUCGCCAAUUUUUUCUUCAGUAACCUUGUGCGAGCCCGGCGUGUAGUUCCCAUGACAAGAUUGGUAAUGUUCAGAACAGGAAUGAGAUCAAGAAUAGCUUUGGCAGUCUCACUACUCUCAAGGAGCAUUGUAUCCACUGUCACCUUGGCAUCAUUACACAAGCGAAUGUAUUUCUGCAAUAUAUUCCUCCUCCUGUUAUGCUCUUCAUUAAUGUAAUAUCUCACUUGAUCUUGGCUUAAUUGACUUCUGGAUAAUUUUCCAACUGGUGUAGGAAUAUAUGUUAUUGGAGGAAAAAUAUGAACAAGGAAAACUCGAGAUCCAGGAGAAACAGCAUGAUCAAGAGCCCAUUUCAGGACAUCUAAAUCAUCUUUACCCACAGCUACAUAAACAUCACUGGCUCCAGCAUCUAUGCUGUUAACAAACGUACCACUCCUGCUAUCCUCUCCUAUCUCCACAAUUUCCGAUGAUAUAAUUCUCGCACUGCAAUAUGGAAGAGAAUUGGCCGGCAAGUAUGAUUUCUCUUCUUCCAUCUCUUUCCCUAGCUCUCAAAAAUGUAAACAACAAAAACUAUGUGUGAGAGAUAGAGAGCCUUUGAGAGCGAAGAUAACAAGACUUUGGCUUGUGUUGGUUGGCAGUUUUUAUGAGGAAAGAGUCGUUGCUCUCAAAGCCACACAGCAAAAAGGCAAGAACAUAAAAUA
rnacentral:misc_RNA from 1 species